rnacentral:rRNA from 1 species
UACGUAGGUGGCAAGCGAUACUCGGAAUCACUAGGCGUAAAGCGCAGGUAGGCGGUUCGGUAAGUCUCUUGUGAAAGCUCCCGGCUCAACUGGGAGAGGUCAAGGGAAACUGCUGGACUAGAGUAUGGUAGGGGAGACUGGAAUUCCUGGUGUAGCGGUGAAAUGCGUAGAUAUCAGGAGGAAUACCUAUGGCGAAAGCAGGUCUCUGGGCCAUUACUAACGCUGAGCUGCGAAAGCUAGGGGAGCAAACAGG